CCUACGGGAGGCAGCAGUAAGGAAUCUUCCGCAAUGGGCGAAAGCCUGACGGAGCAACGCCGCGUGGGCGAUGAAGGCCUUCGGGUCGUAAAGCCCUUUUCUGUGGGACGAUAAUGACGGUACCACAGGAAUAAGCCACGGCUAACUACGUGCCAGCAGCCGCGGUAAUACGUAGGUGGCUAGCGUUAUCCGGAUUCACUGGGCGUAAAGAGCGCGUAGGCGGUGUGCUAAGUUGGACGUGAAAGCCCCCGGCUGAACCGGGGGAGGUCGUCCAAUACUGGUGCACUUGAGGGUGGACGGGGAAAGCGGAAUUCCCGGUGUAGUGGUGAAAUGCGUAGAUAUCGGGAAGAACACCGAUGGCGAAAGCGGUCUCCUGGCCCAAUACUGACGCUGAGAUGCGAAAGCUAGGGGAGCAAACAGGAUUAGAUCCCCCGGUAGU
rnacentral:rRNA from 1 species